GGAAGGGAAGGCAAGAAAGAUGUGGCGGUUAGGCAGUGUACUGCUAGCUGGCUGUUGUGUCUGACAGGUCAGCAGCUGCUAGCUACACUCCACACUGCUGCAUCUGAGAGCACUUCAUCAUCAG
rnacentral:pre_miRNA from 17 species